rnacentral:lncRNA from 1 species
AGAGGAAUAAUUUCACAGACUUCACAGAUGUGAGGUUUCUAUCCUCUUACGGGGGCUCAGUGGGUCUACCAGGUGAUGGAACCCUGAGGACCUGUGUUGGAUCUCUGGACCUCUGUACAGGUGGCACAAGAUAAUAAAGGAGUCUACAGUUUGUCCUCUGACCUGCACACAUGACCUCUAUGUAUUGCCACCCCCUAUCAAUUAUAAAUGUACACAUACACUGAUGAUAACAGAAAUAAAAUAAAAAAUCCUUAAA